CACACACACACACACACACACGCGCGCACAGGCACAAGCGCGCGCGCACACACAUACGCGCUUACGCACAAACGCUCGCGCACGCAUCACUACGUCACGCGUUUUAAACACUCGUGGACGCGACCGGAAUCCUCUCGUUUCAGAUAAGGCUCACGUUAAAUCGGUCACUAAAAGCGCGUGUUACACGAACCUGCCAGUUAUAACACACCGAACGGUACGCGCGGUGUUAUAAAUCGUGUUUUAGGUACGCCGCGGCUGUUGCGGUACGGCACGCGCGCCUGCAUUUUGAGACC